CCUACCCUCCAUGAAUUUAUAUAACUGGGUUCAAAAAAAGAAUUAGAUAAGUUCUUGAAGGAUAGGUCCAUCAGUGGCUAUUAACCAGGAUGGUCAGGGAUGCAACCCCAUGCUCCUAGUGUCCCUAAAUGUCCAACUGCCAGAAACGGGGACUGGAUGACAGGGGUUGGAUCACUCAAAAUUGCUUUAUUCUGUUCAUUCCCUCUUAAGCAUCUGGCACUGGCCACUGUCAGAGACAGGAUACUGGGCUAGAU